AAAAAAAUAAAUAAAAAUUACAUUCAAAAAAAAAAAAGAUUCUUCUAAUAUUAUUUGUAAAGAGAACAUGAAAAAGAAAGUGAGGUAGCCCUCUUUCCAUCCAUCAAAACAAAAUAAUCCAUGUUAAUGAAACAUCUAAAUCCAAAUCCCAUUGAAUGAAUUAUCUGUGUAACCUCAUUUGAAACCAAAGAACAGCUUAACAUAAUUUCUGUGACCUGCAUUUCCCUUAAUUAAUUGAUGUCGGACAACCAUUUCUGAUAUAGUCCACAAUUCACUAAUUAAACUGGCCCAUCACUGGGGAAGUCACUGGGUUUCUCAGGGCCUUCUCUGCCUAUCGUUAAAACAGCAGCUACUUACUCGGCUUCCUGUGAGGGUUCUGUGGGUUACAAUGGGAAGAGCUCAGAACACUACCUGGCCCAUGAUAAGCACACUAGGCACACUAGCAAGUAGAAACCAUAUGUCAGUUCCAUCGACUUUCUACUACAUUUGUACUAUGAUUAAAACAGGAUCUGUGUUGAUAAUACUUGGUUCUACAUUCAUGUCUCUGUAUUGAAACCACAUUGCUGAUUGGCCUGUGACAUUUAAUCAAAUAUAAGUAAACUGUACAUUUGAUUAAAUAGAUGGCUUAAACACUUGUCUUAACCUGUGUUCAUGUCCUACUUUCUACCUGUUUGGGGUCCCCUCAUGAUUAUCAAUCUUUGGUAAUACAGUAAUGUUCUUUUAAAUAAAAUAAAUGCAUUUAUAUAUUUAUUUAUUUUUAAUGAUUUUUAUUUUUUUCCAUUAUAACUGGUUUACAGUGGUCUGUCAAUUUUCUACUGUACAGCAAGGUGACCCAGUCACACAUACAUACAUACCUUCUUUUUUCUCACAUUAUCAUGCUCCAUCAUGAGUGACUAGAUAUAGCUCCCACAUUUAUAUAUUUAAUGACACCUUGACACACAAAAGUUACAUGUGCACAUACAGGCAGCAGUAUGUUGAAAAUGUUCUAUGAACAAAACAAUGAAAAACCAAAACAUUAGGAGUUGCUCUAUAUAAUGAAAAAAAAAGUUUAAUGAAGUAGGAUGUUUCUAACUCAAUCUCCUUCACAUCCUUGAUUCACAUCUUUUGAGCACUUCUGACAAAAUUCAUUUUGUGGUAUCUGAUGGGAUCAUUUAAUCAAGUUUCCUUUUCGGAGAUAAUAAUCAUUUUCCUUAACUAAUAUACAAGGUGGCACAAAAUGUCUUUGCAAUUGUUACAAGAUUCAAUUAAAAGCAGAUGAGUUGAAAGAAAGUUUUAUUUCGCUAUAUACAUUAUGGCCCAGGAUAUAAAAUAUGAAUGCUUUGAAAAGAAAAUGUGAUUCAGUCUCAAAUUCAAAUCAAAGAGAAUUUAGACAUGAUCAGGACAUACUUCAAUUCCUGCCCAAAUAAUUUACUCAGAGUUUAAAUUGAUUUAAUACAUGUAAAGGACAAGAACCAUGUCUUACCACAAAUAAUACUAAAUGUUUGUUUUUCCUUUCCUCUCUACCCCUUAAGAUAAUUUAUAUUAAUCUCUGCUUCGAAACACUGUGAAACCCUUCUGUCAUAAGACCUCGUCGUGAUGUAUAAGCAAAUGAUCAGGUAUAUUGUUUUCAUGAUCAGCCCGUGAAAGUGGUAGGAAAUAGGACCCUUAAUCAACAGAGACCUGAGUAAAAGUAAUGCCUUAAUUAAAAACACUGAAGUAGAAAUACCACUGUAAGACGAGAUCAAAUUUGUGAGAAUAAACAGGUAAAAAAUAAAAGCCUCUUAUUUUCCUUCCCUUAAACAAGGAAGGGUCAAGGAGUAAGUAAGCAUAUGGCUCCUGGGUGGCAUUCCUGGGCCCCAUGGGACUUGAGGAUGCCACUACGGCAGAACAUCCAUGGGGCUGCAGCCAGCGCUACAGAUAGCACUUGGCUCAGGGGUUGACCAGCUUUGAUGAUAAGCACUGUGCUGUGAAAGAAGAAAGGUUUGGUUUUGUUUUCCUUUUAAAAAUAAGGAUGAAAAAAACUGAAAGAUGGGAAACAGAUGAAAUAUAUGAACACACAGUAUAAUUUAAAGCAAUAGCCACUGGCAUUUAGGAUAUGUUAAAAUCAAAAUACACUUAAAAGAUAACAGCAGUAUAUAACAAAAGGCUAAGAUUUUAUAUUUUCAUAAGAUACUUUAAAAGAGAAAGUUCUAAACAGACCUUGAUCUAUAGUAUAAAUAUGUCAGUAAACAAGUUCAAAAAAGUAAUAGCUUACCUGUUGGGCAAUAAAUGUUCUAUGAAAUUUCUGAACAUUUUGAAGCAGCAGCAAUAAUAUCUAACUUCUUUAUUAGAGAAAAGUUUUAAUGUUCCAAAGCAUGUAGCUUCAAAGAAAAUCUAAGAUCAAGAUUCCACUGGGAGUUCCCGUUGUGGCGCAGUGGUUAACGAAUCCGACUAGGAACCAUGAGGUUGCGGGUUUGAUCCCUGCCCUUGCUCAGUGGGUUGAUGAUCCGGCGUUGCCAUGAGCUGUGGUGUAGGUUGCAGACGCGGCUCGGAUCCCGCGUUGCUGUGGCUCUGGCGUAGGCCAGAGGCUACAGCUCCAAUUCGACCCCUAGCCUGGGAAUCUCCAUAUGCCGCGGGAGCUGCCCAAGAAAUAGCAAAAAGACAAAUAAAUAAAUAAAUAAAUAAAAGAUUCCAUUGGGUUAAUAAAACAAAAUCUACUAUUAUAUCCUUACCUAAUUUGUCUAACAUGUUUAAUUUAAAUCAAAGGAAUUUUACAUUUCCAUUCCAUUCAAAUAUAAUAGCCUGAGUAACCACCAUGUUGUUUUCAAAAUACAUUAGUUUAAAACCACCUUCUAUUUUCACACUCAAUCUUAAAGCCUAGGAAACAGAUUAUUUUAUGGACUGUAAUAAAACUGCUAUAAAAAGGAAAAAUUAGAAAUCUAGAACAAAUAGCUUUUUUAGUGACAAAUAAGUGAAAGAAACCAUGAGAUAAACUGCUUCCUCCAGCCCUGGUUCUCUAUUCUAAUUCAAGCCACCAAUUCAAUAAUUACGACACAGGAAUUUCUUCGAAGAUAUUCUUUUAUACUUUAGGUAAAGACUUCAAAGUCUCAGUUUUCAUAUAAGGCACUGUGACACUGACAGCCAGCAGACAUCCAGUCCUUUAGGUGGAAACCUCAAAACUUCAAAUGUAUGACUUCUGCUUAUGAAACUUAUGUAACUGGCACCAGAAGGGCCAAAACCGUUGGAUUAAAUAAAAGAAGCAAAGUUCUCAAAUUAAUCAAUUCUAAAUCAAGUCAAUAUUUUUUAAUACUUCCAAAAGUAGCAACGGCAAACAAUUCUACAGACGGUGGCACCACAAUCUCAACCUUGCGUGAAGACAUGUACUUAAAAUGUUCGGGAAAGAGACUAUAUACAUUUAUAGGAUAUGAUUAAAUUCCAUUUAGCCAUUAUUAAAUGGCUUCUUUCUUCUCUCCCUUGGCUCUUUUUGGAUGGAAAGGUAGAAGUGUAACUGUGACUAGAACAAAAAAUAUAUUUCUACCAAUUGGAGACUCCCAAGAAUCAUUCACGAUGUACCAAACAAUGCCUAGGCAACGUAAUGCAUGGACUUACCACAAUUUGCAAACUUUACUGUUAACUUUUCUGGUUGUGUCUAGUUUUUCUGCAUCUUAAGCUAGCAAUGGAAGUUUCAGUGGAAACAUCUAUAUCUUGAUGGCAAAGAGUCACAGAAUAAAAAGAGUAAAAGGAAGGAAGACUGUCUAUGUAACUAAUUUCACAAACAUGUAUAAUUUUAUAAAUUAAAGUUUAUUUAUCCCUUACAUCUAGAUGCUGUAAACAGUGGAGAAUGACCUAAAUGAUUUGAUCUUCAAAAGUAAACUAUGAGGUGUAUUUAAUGGAAGCAGCCUGAUUUUAUUUGCUAUAUUCUCUUUAAGGCAAUUCUGGCAAAGUCAGCUGACUCAAAGUCAACACCUGUACAGAAAAUAACACGUAUCUGUCACUUUGCUUCCAAAAUGAAAGAGAACGGCAUAGCUAAAACUCCUAAUUACCAACCCCAAGUCAAAUACUAUGUUUUCGUUCCUAUGGUCGCACUAAUGUGAAAUUCUGCUCAUCACAGACCUUUUCCCUAAAGCUAACAACUUCACUAAGCAGUUAAGUAGAAUAUACAAGUUUGAAUUGAAAUCUAAAGGCCAAUAACCAAAAACAGGAGAAGACACAUUUCAUCAGCAAUCUGCAAGCACCUGCCCUCCCCAGGCACAUAUUUACCUGUGCCACAGCACAGAGAAGAAACACAGCUGAGAAACCAGAGCCCUCUCUUUUCAACAAGAGUCUUGGCUCCAAUGCUAAUUCCUCGAACACACUAACUCAAAAGAUCUCUACGAGGUAGAGACUGGCAAUAUUUUUUCACUUUAACUAUUUUCAAAGAAUACCCAAGAUGCCAACAGAAAUCAUACUUAGAUGUUUUCAAUUAAAAAAACAUAAUGCUCUCACAGUAAAUCUCUCAAAACUGAAACUCAUCAAUUCCUAAUGCUGUUUCUACAAGCCAAGAAACAGCCUUGCGAAUUUUAUAAAAAAUUAUGUUUUAAAAUCACUGUAAUUCUAAAUUUUGCUUUUCUAGCAUUCGGAUGGACCAGAAAAAUCAAGUCCCGCAUAGUGCAUUUUUCAGCAUUGCACUCAGGUUGCUUGGACAUCACAACGCACAUCACUUGGCCUUCUGUACCUAUGGAAAUCGCCACGCCACUGGCUCUAAAUGGAGACGGCCUGACCUCCGUGACCAUCUCAACCUCACUAAACACAACACACCCACCUGACAAGGUGUGCACCUUCCCAGGAGCACUUUGAAAGCACAAGCAACUCCAAGCAAACAAAACACUGACUCAGGAGAGACAGCUUUGGUGACUGCCAGCACUGCCUUGACCUCUCUUUGCAUGGCUAGAUAGAGGCUUAUAGUAGAAACAGACAUACGAUUCAUAAAUCAAUGCUCAGUUCUUUCUCCAUAGAAGAAAAAUCAGAAAGACGAAUAUCAGUGUAAAAAUAAUGAGCAAGGAGAUAUGCAGUUAAACAUGCAUUGACGUUCUUCUCCCAGGCCAACAAUCUUUAGUAGGCAUUCUUUAUAUUUCCAACAGCACUCCACAUAGACUAGCAUGAUGGAAAUAAUUAAUAUUCUGAAAGAACAGAGAGUCAGAAGGAAGGAGGGAAUGGCCUGAAGGUAAAGGGAAGGAGGGAAGAGGAAAGAAAGUUAAGGGUGCUGAAUAAAUGUAGUCUUAACGGUGAAAACUAAACCAAUCUGUUUACAUGAAUGUGUGCAUAAAAAGGGAGGAAAAAUGGAAUGGUAAAAAUGCUUGCAAAACUGGCCUGUCCCACAAACAGUUUCAAAAUGUGGCUCUGUGUCAAUAACACCCACUGGAAGAUAAUUUCAACCUACCAGGAAGCCUAUUUUGUGCUGACUGCAGCAGUCUACCCUAUGUGCAAGAGCAGAGGGGCUGACCCAGGGGGGCGAGGAUUAGGACUCUAGUUUGAAUAGCUAAAUGACUGAGGGCAUUUUGUCAACUGUCAAAAUAUUUAUUUUCCAAAUCACAGUGCCUACCAUGCUGACAUCUGAAGGAAAUACCACAAAAAUAGCAAUACAAUUAAGUGUUGGCAGAUUUUUGCCUAAAGCAAAAGAUACAUUUAAAUGUUCUACAUUUUUGUUUAGAAUAAUACCAGUUUUCAGGGGACAGCGCUCAAAGCCUCGGAUUUAUAGCUCAACUCAAGCUGCCUGUCAUUGUGGGAAUUUACACAUCUCCUGGUUAAAUCAGAUACCUAAUCACAAAUCUCACAUCUCACGUAAACAAAGAAGAAAUGCAAAAUCCAAUGCAUAGUCAUUUGAAAUGUACUUUUAACUAUGUCAUAGCCAAUAUGGACAUAUCCAAUAUGGACAGAAUUUCUGUUUUCAUACACUUAAUACAAUGCUUAGUAUUGAAAAACACUGCAUACAUAACAAAAUGUAUUAGUAUCACCAGAAGUAUAUUUUACUGUAUUAUACUGUGGAGAACUCUCUACCAAGGGCAUCUGAACAAUUCUUCACACACCCACCCCAGCUGUGCUCUCAGAUACCGCUAACACACAGAAAUAAACUUACAGGCAAAUUCAAAAUAUAUAUGAAUCCACAGUGAGUCCAGUUUUCCACAGUAAAAGGAAAAUUACAUUUCGAGGCUUACUGUCCAACAGAUUUAUCUAACACUUGCUCCUAUUUUGACUAUCAAUUCUACAAAAAUUUUAUUGGCUAACUCUGAAAAUACUAAAAAUGUGAGACUGCAAUGGAAACACUGUUGCAGCUUUAGAUUAAGAAGCAUAGGUCUCAGAGUUCCCAUUGUGGCUCAGUGGUUAACGAAUCCGACUAGGAACCAUGAGGUUGCGGGUUCGAUCCCCGGUCUUGCUCAGUGGGUUAAGGAUCUGGCGUUGCCAUGAGCUGUGGUGUUGGUUGCAGACGUGGCUCGAAUCCCGAGUUGCUGUGGCUCUGGCGUAGGUCAGUAGGUACAGCACCGAUUCGACCCCUAGCCUGGGAACCUCCAUAUGCUGUGGAAGCGGCCCAAGAAAUGGCAAAAAGACAAAAGAAAAGAAAAAAAAAAAAAAAGAAGCAUAGGUCAAUCUGUUAAAUAGAUUUUGUCUUUUUAAAUUCAAACUACAGAAUUCCCUAACCAUGUACUCAAAUCUGGACUUUGUACUUAAACUCACAAAUACAAUCCUUUAGGAAAGCAUGAAGUAGUAUCCUUAAUCAUGAUUUCCAACCAACAUUUUAAGAUAUUACAACGACAUCGCCUUCAAGAAUAUUUUGUGCACAAUACUAAUCAUUUAG
rnacentral:lncRNA from 1 species